rnacentral:rRNA from 1 species
UACGGAGGGUGCAAGCGUUAUCCGGAUUUACUGGGUUUAAAGGGUGCGCAGGCGGAUAUGUAAGUCAGUGGUGAAAUCUUCGGGCUUAACCCGGAAAUUGCCGUUGAUACUAUAUAUCUUGAAUGUUGUGGAGGUAAGCGGAAUAUGUCAUGUAGCGGUGAAAUGCUUAGAUAUGACAUAGAACACCUAUUGCGAAGGCAGCUUACUACGCAGAUAUUGACGCUCAUGCACGAAAGCGUGGGGAUCAAACAGG